UACGAAGGGGGCUAGCGUUGCUCGGAAUCACUGGGCGUAAAGGCGCGUAGGCGGCCAUUCAAGUCGGAGGUGAAAGCCCAGGGCUCAACCCUGGAAUUGCCUUCGAUACUGUUUGGCUAGAGACCGGAAGAGGUAAGUGGAACUGCGAGUGUAGAGGUGAAAUUCGUAGAUAUUCGCAAGAACACCAGUGGCGAAGGCGGCUUACUGGUCCGGUUCUAACGCUGAGGCGCGAAAGCGUGGGGAGCAAACAGG
rnacentral:rRNA from 1 species